AUCACAGGCUGAUUUUUGGGGUUUGUUGCCACUGGAAUGCCCCGGGGGCAGGGCUGGGAGGCGCUGGGGCUCUCAGGCUGCCCAGAGCUGGCUGAUUUUUGGGGUUUGUUCCCUGUUUUCCCUGCUGCAGGAAUGUGGAGGCCGUGUGCCGUUUCCCAGCCCUGCCGGCCCGCAGGCAGCUCAGCUACCAGGCCAAGCAGCUCAUUGCCAGGGAGAUCGAGCUGGAGAAGAUGAGGAGGACAGAGGCACGGAGCCUGGCCCAGGAGCCCGGGAAUGGCCCCGGGGAGGAGCUGGGGGACGCGGAGCCAGCGGGGACCCCCAACCACCAGCAGCGCCUGGAGCACAUCGUGAGGAGAGCGGCCCUGCAGGACAAGCCUGAACUGGACUUUUUUGGGAGGCCACUCCAGAGGAAAGAGGCGGCCAAGGCCCCAGGUGGGUGGCAGAGGGACACAGAACUGGGUGGGUGACACAGGGACAGGGUGGCUCCAUCCCCAGGUGGGUGGCACAGGGAUGGGAUGACCUCAGAACUGGCUGGGUGACACAGGGACAG
rnacentral:lncRNA from 1 species